rnacentral:rRNA from 1 species
UACGUAGGGGGCAAGCGUUGUCCGGAUUUAUUGGGCGUAAAGAGCGUGUAGGCGGCUUUGCAAGUCCGUUGUGAAAACUCGAGGCUCAACCUCGAGACGCCGGUGGAAACUGCAAAGCUAGAGUCCGGAAGAGGAGAGUGGAAUUCCUGGUGUAGCGGUGAAAUGCGCAGAUAUCAGGAAGAACACCCGUGGCGAAGGCGGCUCUCUAGUACGGUACUGACGCUGAGGUGCGAGAGCGUGGGGAGCGAACCGG